GGCAACGUGGCUGAGUGGUUAAAGCGUAUGACUCGAAAUCAUAUCCCUUCGGGGUCGUAGGUUCAAAUCCUGCCGUUGUCG
rnacentral:tRNA from 1 species